UCCUACGGGAGGCAGCAGUGGGGAAUCUUCCGCAAUGGGCGAAAGCCUGACGGAGCAACGCCGCGUGGGUGAAGAAGGCCUUCGGGCCGUAAAGCCCUGUUGCCGGGGAAGAGUGCCAUGAGGGGACUUGUGGAGGGACGGUACCCGGCGAGGAAGCCGCGGCCAACUACGUGCCAGCAGCCGCGGUAAUACGUAGGCGGCAAGCGUUGUCCGGAAUCAUUGGGCGUAAAGGGGGCGCAGGCGGGGACGCAGGUCCUUCCUCAAAGCGCGGGGCUCAGCCCCGUCACGGGAGGGAAACCGCGUCUCUUGAGCGCGGGAGAGGGAAGCGGAAUUCCUGGUGUAGCGGUGAAAUGCGUAGAUAUCAGGAAGAACACCAGUGGCGAAGGCGGCUUCCUGGACCGCGGCUGACGCUGAGGCCCGAAAGCCAGGGGAGCGAACAGGAUUAGAUACCCUGGUAGUCC
rnacentral:rRNA from 1 species